GCUCUGAGCAAAGCCCAUGAACCUUUUUGCAUUAUGAUCUUCCUUUUCCAUGAUUAUAUAUUCAUGAUAUCCCAUGCACACCAAGUACGUGUCUCUAUCAAAUAUUCAAUAUCUUCGAUCAUCAGCUGGAUUUAAUUAAGGUUUGAUCCUUUCAACAUUUUGAGGAUACAUGUACAGCAAGUCAUGUUCAUUCAAAUCCUUUGGGGAUACGUCGACCUCAACCAAUCCCGCAUUGCAAGAUUUAUUAGCUUACAUCAGAACUUCAUUUGCGUGGAAAAACACGUCCGGUUUGGGGAAAUCAAAAGACAGCAAACAGAGGAUUAACAUAAGAUGGAGGAAGAGAACUAUAAGCUGUUUGUGAAGAACUGCCAGAUAACGAUGGAGAAUGAGCGGCUGAGGAAGAAAGCUGAGCAGCUGAAGGAGGAGCGUGAAUCUCUGCUCAAGCAACUUAAACAACAACAGGCCUCCUCCUCUUCCUCCUCCAUUAAUUCCGCCGAGAAGGCUCACAAGUCAAAGUAGUCCAGUGACAAAGUAAUAGAUUGAUUGAUUGAUCCUUAAUUGGUUGCAAAAGGGUCCGUUUAUAAACUAAUCGAGAUGGAGAGAUGAAAGUGUUGGUAUAAAAUAAGUCUUCCUGUCGGAGACAUGUUUCGAGUAUAGUUUAUGUCUUGUUAUAUCAACAUAAAAUACAUGUGAUAUACGUUCGAAUGCUUAGACCUGAUCAUGGAUCCUACACAAGGGGAAAUUAGCUAGAUCCCAUAAUUUCUCACCCAAGUUCUUGUUUAUAGCCUCCAUGGUGAAUAAUGCAGUACAAGAGGUUUGGAAUAAUUAACGGUACCAUGGCGAUGAAGCAACGCUAUUUAUUGAUGUCCGAGUUAAGGUCCUGGUAGA